AGAGUUUGAUCCUGGCUCAGAACGAACGCUGGCGGCAUGCCUAACACAUGCAAGUCGAACGAGACCUUCGGGUCUAGUGGCGCACGGGUGCGUAACGCGUGGGAAUCUGCCCUUGGGUUCGGGAUAACAGUUGGAAACGACUGCUAAUACCGGAUGAUGACUUCGGUCCAAAGAUUUAUCGCCCAGGGAUGAGCCCGCGUAGGAUUAGCUAGUUGUGAGGUAAAGGCUCACCAAGGCGACGAUCCUUAGCUGGUCUGAGAGGAUGAUCAGCCACACUGGGACUGAGACACGGCCCAGACUCCUACGGGAGGCAGCAGUGGGGAAUAUUGGACAAUGGGCGAAAGCCUGAUCCAGCAAUGCCGCGUGAGUGAUGAAGGCCUUAGGGUUGUAAAGCUCUUUUACCCGGGAUGAUAUGACAGUACCGGGAGAAUAAGCCCCGGCUAACUCCGUGCCAGCAGCCGCGGUAAUACGGAGGGGGCUAGCGUUGUUCGGAAUUACUGGGCGUAAAGCGCGCGUAGGCGGCUUUGUAAGUUAGAGGUGAAAGCCCGGAGCUCAACUCCGGAACUGCCUUUAAGACUGCAUCGCUGAAUUGUGGAGAGGUGAGUGGAAUUCCGAGUGUAGAGGUGAAAUUCGUAGAUUUUCGGAAGAACACCAGUGGCGAAGGCGA
rnacentral:rRNA from 1 species